GACGAACGCUGGCGGCGUGCUUAACACAUGCAAGUCGUGCGGUAAGGCCCUUUCGGGGGUCCACGAGCGGCGAACGGGUGCGCAACACGUGAGCAAGCUGACCUUCACUUUGGGUUAAAUGCCGGAAACGGUGGCAAAUCCCGGUUAUGACUUCCUAACGCAUGUGGGGUGGUGGAAAGCCUUCGGGUGGCGGGGGAUGGGCUCGCGGUCUAUCAGCUUGUCGGUGGGGUGAUGGCCUACCAAGGCUUCGACGGGUAGCCGGCCGGAGAGUGUGACGGGCCACACUGGGAAUGGCAAACGGCCCAGAGUCCUACGGGAGGCAGCAGUAGGGAAUAGUGGACAAUGGGCUAAAGCCUGAUCCAGCAACACGGCGUGAGGGAUGACGGCCUUCGGGUUGUAAAGCACUUACGCCUGCGACGAAGCGGGAGUUACGGUAGCAGGUAAAGAAGCACCGGCCUACUACGUG
rnacentral:rRNA from 1 species